ACGACAUGAUGGGGACAUUUUUUGAUGAGAUCCUUUAAUCUUUCCCAUGAUUCAUGGAACUGCUCACCAUAUUGGUGUGAAAAGCUGGUGAGAGCUCGUCUUAUCUG
rfam:Cephalotus follicularis DNA, scaffold: scaffold270, isolate: St1.